rnacentral:rRNA from 1 species
UGCCAGCCGCCGCGGUAAUACGGAGGGGGUUAGCGUUGUUCGGAAUUACUGGGCGUAAAGCGUACGUAGGCGGAUUGGAAAGUAUGAGGUGAAAUCCCAGGGCUCAACCCUGGAACUGCCCUGUAAACUAUCAGUCUAGAGUUCGAGAGAGGUGAGUGGAAUUCCAAGUGUAGAGGUGAAAUUCGUAGAUAUUAGAAAGAAUACCAAUUGCGAAGGCAGCUCACUGGCUCGAUACUGACGCUGAGGUGCGAAAGCGUGGGGAGCAAACAGGAUUAGAUA